rnacentral:lncRNA from 13 species
UACGGAGGUCACAGUGCAGUGCAGGGAGCUUUGGUGUAGGAGGCAGAGACCCGGGAUCUGGCUGUCAGCAGCCGCCUCUCUUAGCUGCUAUUGCUGUUGCUUCAAAUGUGCUUGACUUUGGAGCUGGCUACUUUCAGUUUCUCCUCCUCACUGCAGGAUCCAGGCUGACCACAUUUUCUUUGGUCUCUGCCUCAACAGAGCCUGAGAGUGAGGCCUUUGAAUGGUGCCCUGGACAGAGCUUGGAACAUGAAGGUGAAUACUGUGGUGGGGAGAAUACAUCCCUCCACCUGGCUCUGAGCCAGGGCCAGCCUUGGCUCCUGCUAGCCCCACGGAUACAGAGGAGGGAGUGGUGCUACUGUUGCCUUUGUCUAGAAAAAUGUGAUGUGCUCAAGGUAGGUAAACUGAGGCAAGAGGUGGAGGACACACAGGGAGGGGGUCACAGAGCACAAGCAUGGCAAACCCAGGAGAAAACCCCACUCAGAAGUGAAACUGCAGGGAGAUUUAGCGAGGCUGCUGUGAUGUGCUGGGUUCUCCAGGAGAGGGUGUGUGGUGGAUGGUUGGUGGGGGACAGGAGUGUGGUCUUGGGACCUGGUUCAAAUCCUGGCUUCCUCCUUUACUUCAUGAUAUGUAGUAAGGAGCUUCACAGCAUCUGGAAAUGAGGGUGGACCCUGGAGGUGGUGACGUAUGCUUCCAAAUGCCUGUCCCACUAUUCUUGCCAACUGAACACCCUUCUCCCGCCCCCCCUUUUCUCUUGUUUGAG